rnacentral:tRNA from 1 species
UUUUUUAAAGCGAAUUUUGCAAUAAGUUUCGACCUUAUCUUUGAUUUUAAUAUCUAAAAAAA